rnacentral:tRNA from 1 species
GCCCGGGUGGCGAAACUGGUAGACGCAAGGGACUUAAAAUCCCUCAGCUGAAAGGCUAUGCGGGUUCGAUCCCCGCCCCGGGCAC